rnacentral:rRNA from 1 species
UACGAAGGGGGCUAGCGUUGUUCGGAAUUACUGGGCGUAAAGGGCGCGUAGGCGGUACUUCAAGUCAGGCGUGAAAGCCCCGGGCUAAACCUGGGAACCGCGCUUGAGACUGGAGAACUAGAGUUCGGGAGAGGAUGGUGGAAUUCCCAGUGUAGAGGUGAAAUUCGUGGAUAUUGGGAAGAACACCGAUGGCGAAGGCAGCCAUCUGGACCGACACUGACGCUGAGGCGCGAAAGCGUGGGGAGCAAACAGG